rnacentral:rRNA from 1 species
GUGUCAGCAGCCGCGGUAAUACGUAGGCAGCAAGCGUUGUUCGGAGUUACUGGGCGUAAAGAGUAUGUAGGCGGUUUGGCAAGUUCGGUGUGAAAUCUCCCGGCUUAACUGGGAGGGUGCGCCGAAAACUGCCGGGCUAGAGUGCGGGAGAGGAGAGCGGAAUUCCUGGUGUAGCGGUGAAAUGCGUAGAUAUCAGGAGGAACACCGGCGGUGUAGACGGCUCUCUGGACCGCGACUGACGCUGAGAUACGAAAGCGUGGGGAGCAAACAGGAUUAGAAACCCUCGUAGUCC